UGUUUGUGUGUAGUUGUGGUCUGCACUGCAUGUAGCGUCACGGUUCAUUUAUUUGCGUUUUUGUGCUCUAAGUUUCUCUUCUAAAUAAAGGAUGGAAACAUACCACGCUGCGCCUUGGUCCAAUCUUUAUGACGAGUGUGACAGUCAACUGUUUCUAUAAUUUUGUGAACUGUUUCUGAAGGUGAUUGAUGUUGGCGAUGAUAUGGUGAAACUCCAAUACACAACAGCCAGCGCUGUGAAAGAGAAAGAGGGUAAACUACUCUGCCAGCCAGAGGUGCUUUGUGACGUCCCAAAAUCUACUACCCAGGAUAAAUUAUGACUUCAAUGGCAAGAAGUGCAGAUUUGUCUACAUGACUUGUGUUGCAAUGUCAGCAGUGGCAACUAAGAUCAUGAAGUUGGACACUGAGACAAUGGAGAGAGGAGAACUGCUGGCCAUCAGAGCCUGUGUUCAUUCCAAGACCCAACGGAGAAGGAGAGG